rnacentral:rRNA from 1 species
UACAGAGGGUGCAAGCGUUAAUCGGAAUUACUGGGCGUAAAGCGUGCGUAGACGGUUGCGUAAGUCAGAUGUGAAAGCCCCGGGCUCAACCUGGGAAUUGCAUUUGAGACUGCGUAGCUAGGGUGCGGAAGAGGGAAGCGGAAUUCCGGUGUAGCGGUGAAAUGCGUAGAUAUCGGAAGGAACACCAGUGGCGAAGGCGAGUCCCUGGACAACACCUGACACUAAGGCACGAAAGCUAGGGGAGCAAACAGG